rnacentral:rRNA from 1 species
AUUGAACGCUAGCGGGAUGCUUUACACAUGCAAGUCGAACGAGUGGCGGACGGGUGAGUAAUAUAACGGAAGUGCCCAGUAGCGGGGGAUAACUACUGGAAACGGUAGCUAAUACCGCAUACUAUCGGAUAACCCAUAUGGGAUUAGCUAGUAGGUGAGGUAAUGGCUCACGUAGGCGACGAUCCCUAGCUGGUCUGAGAGGAUGAUCAGCCACACUGGGACUGGGACACGGCCCAGACUCCUACGGAGGCAGCGUUGGGGAAUAUUGCACACUGGGCGCAAGCCUGAUGCAGCCAUGCCGCGUGUAUGAAGAAGGCCCUAGGGUUGUAAAGUACUUUUGGCAGAGAAGCGGUAUCUGCAGAAUAAGCACCGGCUAACUACGUGCCAGCAGCCGCGGUAAUUC